rnacentral:rRNA from 1 species
GUAAUACAUCGGAACGUGCCCAGUAGUGGGGGAUAGCCCGGCGAAAGCCGGAUUAAUACCGCAUACGACCUACGGGUGAAAGCGGGGGACCGAAAGGCCUCGCGCUAUUGGAGCGGCCGAUGGCUGAUUAGCUAGUUGGUGGGGUAAAGGCCUACCAAGGCUACGAUCAGCAGCUGGUCUGAGAGGACGACCAGCCACACUGGGACUGAGACACGGCCCAGACUCCUACGGGAGGCAGCAGUGGGGAAUUUUGGACAAUGGGCGAAAGCCUGAUCCAGCAAUGCCGCGUGUGCGAAGAAGGCCUUCGGGUUGUAAAGCACUUUUGUCAGGAAAGAAAUUGUCUGGGCUAAUACCCCGGGCCGUUGACGGUACCUGAAGAAUAAGCACCGGCUAACUACGUGCCAGCAGCCGCGGUAAUACGUAGGGUGCGAGCGUUAAUCGGAAUUACUGGGCGUAAAGCGUGCGCAGGCGGUUUGUUAAGACAGUUGUGAAAUCCCCGGGCUUAACCUGGGAACUGCAAUUGUGACUGGCAGGCUAGAGUUUGGCAGAGGGGGGUGGAAUUCCUGGUGUAGCAGUGAAAUGCGUAGAUAUCAGGAGGAACACCGAUGGCGAAGGCAGCCCCCUGGGCCAUGACUGACGCUCAUGCA